AGUAAAAGUCGUAACAAGGUCUCCGUUGGUGAACCAGCGGAGGGAUCAUUACUGAGUUAUCCAAAACUCCCAACCCUUUGUGAACUUACCACUGUUGCCUCGGCGAGUUGUGCUACCCUAUAGCUACCCUGUAGCUACCCGGGAACACAUUCCAAGCUCGCCAGAGGACCUACCAACUCUGUUUUAUACUGUAUCUCUGAACUUUAUAACUAAAUAAGUUAAAACUUUCAACAACGGAUCUCUUGGUUCUGGCAUCGAUGAAGAACGCAGCGAAAUGCGAUAAGUAAUGUGAAUUGCAGAAUUCAGUGAAUCAUCGAAUCUUUGAACGCGCAUUGCGCCCAUUAGUAUUCUAGUGGGCAUGCCUAUUCGAGCGUCAUUUCAACCCUUAAGCCUCAGUUGCUUAGCAUUGGGACUCUACGACCUAUUAUAGCGUAGUUCCUUAAAGUUAGUGGCGGAGUUAUAGCACACUCUAAGCGUAGUAAUUCUCUCUCGCUUCUUGUAGUGGUUAUAGUUGCUAGCCAUAAAACACCCCCUAUUUUAAUGGUUGACCUCGGAUUAGGUAGGAAUACCCGCUGAACUUAAGCAUAUCAAUAAGCGGAGGA
rnacentral:rRNA from 1 species